AAUACAUACGGAACGUCGUCCUGUAAGUGGGGGAAUAACGCAGACGAAAGCUGUGCUAAUACCGCAUACGUCCGUACGGGAANAAAGGUGGGGGGACCGCAAGGCCUCACGUUAUAGGAGCGGCCGAUGCCGGAUUAGCUAGUUGGUGGGGUAAAGGCUCACCAAGGCAACGAUCCGUAGCUGGUCUGAGAGGAUGAUCAGCCACACUGGGACUGAGACACCGGCCCAGACUCCUACGGGAGGCAGCAGUGGGGAAUUUUGGACAAUGGGCGCAAGCCUGAUCCAGCCAUGCCGCGUGAGUGAAGAAGGCCUUCGGGUUGUAAAGCUCUUUCGGCCGGGACGAAAUCGCACGGGUUAACACCGCGUGUGGAUGACGGUACCGGAAUAAGAAGCACCGGCUAACUACGUG
rnacentral:rRNA from 1 species